rnacentral:rRNA from 1 species
AGUGAACGCUGGCGGCGUGCCUAAUACAUGCAAGUCGAGCGAACGCACGAUAAGCUUUCUUCUCUGAUGUUAGCGGCGGACGGGCGAGUAACACGUGGAUAACCUACCUAUAAUACUGGGGUAACUUCGGGGAACCAGAUCUAAUACUGGCGCAUAUUUUGUACCGCUUGGUUCAAAAGUGAUAGACGGUUUUGCCGUCACUUAUAGCUGGAUCCGCGUUGGAUUAGCUAGUUGGUAAGGUAACGGCUUACCAAGGCAACGAAGCAUAGCUGACCUGAGAGGGUGAUCGGCCACACUGGAACUGAGACACGGUCCAGACUCCUACGGGAGGCAGCAGUAGGGAAUAUUGCGCAAUGGGCGAAAGCCUGACGGAGCAAUGCCGCGUGAGUGAUGAAGGUCUUCGGGUUGUAAAGCUCUGUUAUUAGGGAAGAAAAUAUGUGUAAGUAAACGUGCACAUCUUGACGGUACCUAAUGAGAAAGCCACGGCUAACUACGUG